rnacentral:rRNA from 1 species
UAAUACGGAGGGUGCAAGCGUUAUCCGGAUUCACUGGGUUUAAAGGGUGCGUAGGCGGAUUGGGAAGUCCGUGGUGAAAUCCCCGAGCUUAACUCGGGAACUGCCGUGGAUACUCUCAGUCUUGAAUAUCGUGGAGGUAAGCGGAAUAUGUCAUGUAGCGGUGAAAUGCUUAGAGAUGACAUAGAACACCAAUUGCGAAGGCAGCUUACUACACGGUCAUUGACGCUGAGGCACGAAAGCGUGGGGAUCAAACAGGAUUAGAUACCCUGGUAGUCCACGCCCUAAACGAUGAUUACUCGACAUACGCGAUACACUGUGUGUGUCUGAGCGAAAGCAUUAAGUAAUCCACCUGGGAAGUACGACCGCAAGGUUGAAACUCAAAUGAAUUGACGG